rnacentral:rRNA from 1 species
UACAGAGGGUGCAAGCGUUAAUCGGAAUUACUGGGCGUAAAGCGUACGCAGGCGGCUUUGCAAGACAGGUGUGAAAUCCCCGGGCCUAACCUGGGAACUGCAUUUGUGACUGCAUAGCUAGAGUUUGUCAGAGGGGGGUGGAAUUCCACGUGUAGCAGUGAAAUGCGUAGAUAUGUGGAGGAACACCGAUGGCGAAGGCAGCCCCCUGGGAUGUGACUGACGCUCAUGUACGAAAGCGUGGGGAGCAAACAGG